GGAUAUACUGCUUCGCUAGACAAUAUAUGCAAAGAAUUUAUGCACAAUUGGAGGAGAAAAUGUAAAGUCCACUGUUAGAAGACUCUUAUCCUACCUUUUUGCCAAUGACCUUGCCUUUCGGAUCAAUUGGAAUCAAGGAUAUAGUAACCAGACUGUCCGAAAAAACAGGCUAACAGCGGCAGCGACAGACAGCGAAAUUUGCGCCAUUGUUAAAGAUUGGUGUCACUCCAGUGACUCACGCCAGUGACCGGGAAGGGGAACGGAAAAA